CCCCGGGUCCCCACUUCGGGCCGGUGGGGGUGGCCGGGGGGAGCCAAAGACGUUCGUGCGUGCGUGCGUGAGAGCGGGCGAGUCCACGGGGACGGCGGCGCGUGCGCCGCGAGUGAGUGGUUCAGCCGGGCCUUGGCUCAUUGUGCUCGCCUCACGCUGGCCCGAGUUGGCGGCAGCGCUGGAGGUCACGGGCCUGUGAGCACAAAGAGGGAGCCGGGGGCCAAACGGGAGCGCGGCGGCGGCGGCGGCGGCGGAGGGUGAGGCCCAGGCCAGACCCCCUCCCCUCAGCCUCCCGCCCGCCUGCCCCGCCGCCGCCGCCGGCGGCGCCCCGCCCCUCCCCCAACCGCCAGACUAGCCUGGUGCGGGGGCCGCGCGCGAAGACCUGGGGGAGAGGUUGGAGCUGAGGCUGGAGUCGCCCGUGGGGGCCGAGCCCGCCGUCUACCCAUGGCUGCUGCUGGUCUACGACAAACCUCACGAUGCUGCUCACAAAAUCAGCGAGACCAUCCGGAGGAAAAGAGACGUAGAGUUACAUCCAGAGAAUGAGUUGCUGGACCGCUCCCUGCAGAAGAACCGGGAAGAGUAAGACCAGGAACACACGUGGAAGAAGAAGAAAGAGAUGAUAAAGUAAAGCCUGGUCACCUCCAGGAAGCAGAUGGCAGGCAGAUAACGCCGAGGCAAAUGAACCCAAUUACCGGUCCGCCGGACCCAAUUACCGGACUGCCUGACGCCAGCGAUGACGGUUUUGAAAUAAGGCAAGAAGAAGAAGAAUGCAGGACUUUUACCACUUUGCUCCUUAUUGUGACUCCCUGGACUGCGGUGGCUGCCCGAGGGGCGGGGACGCCAGCUGGGAUCUCCAGGCGUGUGUGGGCAUCGUGUCUGCAGCCAGCGUCCCCGAGGCCACGCUCGGCCCAUAAUCACUCAGUGAAGCUGCGCCACGACAGCGCGGCCGACUUUUUCUGGCACUGUGAGGACCUGUGCGCAUUGCAGGAUUCUGUGCCUCUGCCCGCCUUGCGCGCCUCCCUGCGGGAGGGCCUGCUGGACUUCAACGCCGACCGCCUCCGCGGGGUGGACUGGGCGCCGCCCCUGAGCACCCUCUGCCCCCGAUCUGUAUCCAGAGCUUCUUCCAGCCACGACUUGGCGAGACAGGUUCUGACAGAAAUAAAGUCUCCAGAAGUUGUGUUCCUGCAAUAAGAAAUAAAGAUGUGACCUUCCAGUUGUGUAAAGCUCUUAAAUGCUGUGUAAGUGCGUCGGGUGCGCUAAGGAACCUGGAGCUAAAUGGGCUAGUUCUGAGAGAGAGAGACUUAACUACAUUAAAAAAGAUAAAACACAGGACCGGGCUUCCCUGGUGGCGCAGUGGUUGAGAGUCUGCCUGCCAAUGCAGGGGACACGGGUUUGAGCCCUGGUCCGGGAAGAUCCCACAUGCCGCGGAGCCACAGCUGCUGAGCCUGCGCGUCUGGAGCUUGUGCUCCGCAACGGGAGAGGCCGCGACAGUGGGAGGCCCGCGCACCGCGAUGAAGAGUGGCCCCCGCUUGCCGCAGCUGGAGAAAGCCCUUGCACAGAAACGAAGACACAACACAGCCAAAAAUAAAUAAAUUAAUUAAUUUAAAAAAUUAAAAAAAAACAAACAAAAAAAACAAAACACAGGACCAUUUGCUGUGAUUGCAUAAGAAAAUGUAAAUGGGAUCAGCACAGACAAACGAAACAAACAUGGUAUUGACAGAAGGCACCCCAGAGAGAAGGUGUGGAACUAUUAGAAGCAACCUGGAUAUCAACCCUGCUUCUGGGAGGCAGUUCUGACUACAAGGGCAGGAGAUUCUCUGAAGCCAGCUCGAGAGAGGCUAUAUUCAUCUGUGUUGAUCACUGCUGUGUUUCCUGAACAUGCCUAUAAAACAUACUGAAGAAGGGUGCCUGAAAUUUGUUCCAGAAAUGACAUCUGCUGAAGGGAGAACAUGUUCUAGCAAUGAAAUCUUCAAAAGACUCCUGCCGCUGCUCUGUGACUGGGACCCCUAGGUUGUCUUUGGAAGUUUCUAAGGCCUCCUGAGUAGAGACUGGGACAUGGAAGGAGUCGAGAGGCAAAGGAAGCCCAGCAUCACCUGUAAUUUUCUGAAACUGGAGGGAAAGACAAAAGACAAGACAAAAAUUUAGUGAUGAACAAAGCCAACCCUUAAAAAGCACAUGUAAACAGUAUAUUGUUUGUGACCAGACUGUGUUCUCAAGUUGUCAGUUCCCAAGACCAGUCUGAGAUUGGCUGAGGUGGGCGAAGGGGGCUCUAAGUAAGACUAGAGGAAAAGCUGAUAUGUUUCCCCUCCCAUUCCCAUGACCAGGUGGACUACUAACAGUAGAAUUCAUCUGGGGACGACCUAGUAAAUGAAAAUCUGACUGAUCUAUACCAGCCAUUGUGGCCAGCUGCCCAAGCCUGGACCAGAGGAGGAAAGGAGAAAAGACAAAGAGUUCAAAUGUCCACCAUUCACCUUGGUGUAAGCUUAAGGAACCAUUCAAGGGGAUACAAUGCAGAUGGGAGGAGAAAACAGAACCCUCACUCAAGCUGUGCAGUGUUGCAAUCAGGCUUCCAUUUGAAAAAUAAUCUUCUCUAUAGCUUUAAAGUGAUAACUUUGUACCUGCAAUGCUUCUUGUUUCAAACUGAUUUUCUCUGGCUCUUCCUGAACACUUUCUGAGGAAUCUUCGACCUCUUCAAUUUCUGAGGAGGAAGGACUCUCUACUGUCACAGUACAGGAAAUUCUGAUGGACCUGAGUGUCACAAGAAGAUAGGAAACCACAGAGUUGUUAAACUGAAGUGCAAAGAAAGAAGACAAGAUUGUAUAAAAGAUAACACAAGCCAGAUACCAAAUAUCCACAUAUUAGAGGACAUUUAACAAAAGUAAUCUGAGGUAUCAUUAUUUAUAAAUGUCUCUCACUGCUCCUUAGUCUAAAACAGGCAAUGACUAAGUAAAAGUACAGUAACUUAUUUUUGCUGGGUUACUGUACAGACCUCUGUUGUACAUGGUUAGGAUUAGUAAUGGGAAUUGCCCAUAUUAUUUUAUUAAGUUUCUUUCACAGAAGCCAAGUGAAGAGCCAAGGUAAACAUUUUUUCUCAGAUCAACUUUAUACUGCAAAUGAAAAAUGUAUUCUUUACCAUCAGACGAAAACAGUCUGGAAGAAAAUGUAGUUUUUCGGAGGAAAAUACAUCAGUAAAGGGACUGAUGAAUAAUCAGAAAGUCAACAUAUCUAAGCUGUGAAUAACAGACGUUUGAAUUUUAAAAAAUAAAUCACAUACACAUACACAACUAAAACUGACCCAUCAAAAAUUUCAUCUUCUCAUCACCCUUAAGCCAAAACUAGGGUAACAGUAAUACAAUUCUCCUAUCAAGCGUCACUGCCACUGCAAUGUUGUUCCAUAGGACAUUUCCAAACAUUUAAAAACUGACCUGGCCACAACCCCGUAAAAGUCUACAGAUCAUACAGAAGUGUGCUGGGAUUAUAUAACUACGCAGAAGACAAGUCACUAGGACAUCAUUUUCACAACAAGCAGCAAAACUGCAGCAUGGGAAAUUCCCAACAGGAGAACGAGGCGCACACCCCUCCCUCUGGGCAUGCAAGGGCAGGACUGACACCCAAGGUGCUCUUCUCUCGAUCUCAGCAGUGGUGCCUUUCACAGAGCAACUAUGCAGUCUCCCAAGACCACUGGGAAGGAGAAUGGGAUACUGACAGUAUUAGCUUGCCAUGAGGCCAUAAGCGAGGGAAUGUGUGUGGCCUUGGUGAGAGAGCAGAGGUUUGGGAGAUGUUGCUUUAUAUUGGCUUUCAGAUCAGGAAGUUGUACAUAUAGCCUGCAAACAACAUUUCUUGAAAACAUAUGAACAUUCUUGAGUAUGACAGCUCCAUGUGAGGGGUCAGCAAUGGCAGUCAGGUUUGUGUCACUUGGUAACAGCUGAUUUGUGGACUGAAGAACAGGCUUCCUUGUUCACAGACAUAACCACAAGGCUGCCAGUUGUGUGCAAAAUCCACACAACUACACAGCUGCAUUGGGAGAGCAACCAGACAAGUUUUACAUGGAUUUACUUCAGAGAGGGAAAUGCUUCUUUUAAGGCUCUGUCAGUUUAAAAAGCAAAAAGAAUGACCACCCACCUUUCCCAAUUCGACCCCUACAUGUCAUAAAUAUGAUAGCUAUAUACCUGCACCUGACUACAUACAUCACGAGUUUGAUGAAUGGAAAGCCCCUAAAAGGAUAUCAACAAAAUGAAGUUAGAUCUUGAUGUAAAUACAUCACCAGUUAAAUCCAGUUAAUACAACUAUUUAGUAUUAUGUACAGUAUCCAUACAGAAUUGUGUAUAAAAAUAAAUAAGCUCAAAAGAAGGACCUGGAGGGCUCUGCUACAGAGAAAACUGAACAGAAUUCAGCCGACUGGCUUGGUGAUAACUCUCUGAACUGCUGAGAGGCCCCUUCAGUUCCUAUGUUCAGGAUGGUUGAGAUUUCAGUCUCACUUCUUUAAAUGGUGAUAUUAAUCGUUCUCUAAUUUACCACUCUGUGUGACGAGGAUGGACCUGAGAUUAAGUGUCUCACCAAGAAGAUAGGAAACCACAGAGUUGUUAAACUCAAGUGCAAAGACUGGGGAUUCAACACUAUAGUUUAUGCAACAGCAAUUCACAUUACCAUUUGCAAAAAAUUAGUUGGUUGUCCAACAGGGAUUAUAAACAUCCAUUUAACAUGAGCUACUGAACAGAUACUUUACACAGUAACUCCUUCAAGUACUAUUUAAAAUCAAUUCUCUUUGUUUUCUUAAGCAAUUGUUAACCUCCAAUUUCAUGAAUACUACCAAGUAAGUCACUUGAAAAUCAUCCAGAGCAAUCUAUUUCACUUAGCAAGCCUAAAGCUAUAAUUCAACAAUUUUAUUUACUGUUCUAUGACAAAAAUUACUAUGAACAGCUAUCCCUUGGAUAAGCAAUCAGCUAAAGCUAGCUUGACUCACUAAAUCUGAUUUACUGAGUUAAUAAGCCAGUUGAUUUAGAAUAGGUCUAAUGAAGAUUUCUCAUCCAUUCUGCAUUAAACUACUUCCCAUGCCUAAAAUGUCUUUCUUCCCAUUCGUACAUAUCCAAAUUCCUACUUCUGUGCUGUAGGGCUUGGCUCAACUACACCUGCCUUUAGUGAAACUUUUCUCACCUGCACAAUUGGAGAUAAUUUUAGUCUCCUCAUGACUCCCACGGGGUUACCUCUGUUGUGACACUUGAGAAACAACUUGAAACUCCCAAUUACUUUCUGUUUUUCUUCCUUAGAGGGCUCAUUAGGCAGAAGCCAUGUGUGAGUUAUCUUUUUUCCUCUAUAGAAAGCACCAGACACCGCCCACGUAAUAGAAGUUCCAAAAUAAAGAAUUCUGAACGACUGAAAAAGACAGGGAAUGCAAACACAUUACCUGUUGCUUUUUGCACGUUCUGCAGUACACCAUGGCAGGAAACCAGACACACCAGGUGGUAGAGGUUCAGGACCAUAACAUUCUUUACAAGCAGAGUGUUUCCUUCCAUUACUUACAGGUUUCUUUGUGGCCAAUCCUAUGUUUGACAAAGCACGAAAGAAGGAAUCAAGAUGCACCAAAGGGGGCUUCCGUGGUGGCGCAGUGGUUGAGAAUCUGCCUGCUAAUGCAGGGGACACGGGUUUGAGCUCUGGUCUGGGAAGAUCCCACAUGCCGCGGAGCAACUAGGCCCGUGAGCCACAACUACUGAGCCUGCGCGUCUGGAGCCUGUGCUCUGCAACAAGAGAGGCCACGAUAGUGAGAGGCCCGCACACUGCGAUGAAGAGUGGCCCCGCUUGCUGCAGCUAGAGAAAGCCCUCGCACAGAAACGAAGACCCAACACAGCCAAAUAAAUAAAUAAAUAAAUAAAGAUGCACCAAAGGUCUACAGAGCAACUCUCAAACGUGUACAGUUUGAAAGGAAUCAAACAGGCACUGGACAAUGAUGCCAAGGCCAUUAAAAAAAGGAUCGUUUUGUAAAAAGGUUUUACAUAAGCCAGCAUUUUUUAAAAAUAUAAGUUCUCUACAGUAACAAGUUAUUUUAACUAAAACAAAAGUAUUGAGAUGUGCAGAAAUGGAAAAAUAAAUUUUUUAAAAAUCCCAAAGUAUGAUACAUUUUAUGUAUCAUACAGAAACACUCAAGUUUAUUGAAUCUUAGAACACCUUUGGCAUUUCUGAAUCUCAAGGAUAGCGAAACACAGGUACACCCAUGACUUCUGCCAAACAGAAUCUUCAGAAUUGGACCAAAAUUUCAAUUUAAGAUGAAUUUUUCUAUGUAAAAACAGUAAAAGUUAUAAGACUGCAAGUUGCUGGGUGGUAGGUGAGUCAAUGUUACUCUCCUAUAAGCCUGUCAACCUUCACUGCCCCUUUGAUGUCAUAUAGAAAACACACAAAAAAACAAAGGAAACCCACUGGAUAAAAGAGUGAAAUGUGGAGACUUAUCGUAUAUUUCAGUAGUAAAGAGGCAAGUAUCUUUAUAUGAAAUAUUUGGUUGCAAAAACUAGACCUACGUGUUAAUAUUUUAUUUAGAACAAGCCA